UGGGGAAUAUUGCACAAUGGGCGCAAGCCUGAUGCAGCCAUGCCGCGUGUGUGAAGAAGGCCUUCGGGUUGUAAAGCACUUUUAGCGGGGAGGAAGGCGUUAAGGUUAAUAACCUUGGCGAUUGACGUUACCCGCAGAAGAAGCACCGGCUAACUCCGUGCCAGCAGCCGCGGUAAUACGGUGGGUGCAAGCGUUAAUCGGAAUUACUGGGCGUAAUGCGCACGCAGGCGGUCUGUCAAGUCGGAUGUGAAAUCCCCGGGCUCAACCUGGGAACUGCAUUCGAAACUGGCAGGCUAGAGUCUUGUAGAGGGGGGUAGAGUUCCAGGUGUAGCUGUGAAAUGCGUAGAGAUCUGGAGGAAUAACGGUGGCGAAGGCGGCCCCCUGGACAAAGACUGACGCUCAGGUGCGAAAGCGUGGGGAGCAAACGGG
rnacentral:rRNA from 1 species